UGAGGAAUAUUGGUCAAUGGGCGCGAGCCUGAACCAGCCAAGUCGCGUGAGGGAUGACGGCCCUACGGUUGUAAACCUCUUUGUCGGGGAGCAAAUUCCGCCACGUGUGGCGGAGUCGAGAGUACCCGAAGAAAAAGCAUCGGCUAACUCCGUGCC
rnacentral:rRNA from 1 species